UUGGGGUUGUCAACAUGAAGGUUCUCCCUGAAGCCAUCUUUCACUCUGCGAAGUGCGUAUGUUCUGAAAACAAGCACACGUCUGAACUCCAGU